UUCGGACUUAGCGGCGGACGGGUGAGUAACGCGUGGGAACAUACCCUUUGGUACGGAAUAGCCUCGGGAAACUGGGAGUAAUACCGUAUGUGCCCUUCGGGGGAAAGAUUUAUCGCCAAAGGAUUGGCCCGCGUUGGAUUAGGUAGUUGGUGGGGUAAUGGCCUACCAAGCCGACGAUCAGUAGCUGGUCUGAGAGGAUGAUCAGUCACACAGGAACUGAGACACGGUCCAGACUCC
rnacentral:rRNA from 1 species